AUUGAACGCUAGCGGCAGGCCUAACACAUGCAAGUCGAGCGAGCGGCGGACGGGUGAGUAAUGUAUGGGGACUGCCCGAUAGCGGGGGAUAACUACUGGAAACGGUGGCUAAUACCGCAUACUAUCGGAUACCCCAUAUGGGAUUAGCUAGUUGGUGGGGUAAAGGCUCACCUAGGCGACGAUCCCUAGCUGGUCUGAGAGGAUGAUCAGCCACACCUGGACUGAUACACGGCCCAAACGCCCACGGAGGCAGCAGGUGGGAAAAUUGCGCAAAUGGGGCAAGCCGUAUGCAGGCAUGCCGGGGGUAUUAAGAAGGCCUUAGGGUUUUAAAGUACUUUCAGCGGGGAGGCGUGACCCGCAGAAGAAGGACCGGCUAAAUCCGUGCCAGCAGCCGCGGUAAUAC
rnacentral:rRNA from 1 species